rnacentral:rRNA from 1 species
AUACGUAUGGGGCAAGCGUUAUCCGGAAUUAUUGGGCGUAAAGAGUGCGUAGGUGGUUACCUAAGCGCAAGGUUUAAUCUUGGGGCUCAACCCCAUUCUGCCUUGCGAACUGGGCUACUUGAGUGCUGGAGGGGAAAGCGGAAUUCCCAGUGUAGCGGUGAAAUGCGUAGAUAUUGGGAAGAACACCGGUGGCGAAGGCGGCUUUCUGGACAGUAACUGACACUGAGGCACGAAAGCGUGGGGAGCAAACAGGAUUAGAUACCCUGGUAGUCCACGCCGUAAACGAUGAGCACUAGUUGUUGGGUCCGAAUGGAUUCAGUGACGCAGUUAACGCAAUAAGUGCUCCGCCUGGGGAGUACGGUGGCAACACUAAAACUCAAAGGAAUUGACGGGG